GUUCUCAUUUCGGCAGCACAGAUACUGAGAUUGGAAUAAUAGAGAAGUUUAGCAUGUUCCCUGUGUAAGGAUGACAGGCAAAUCCAUGAAGCGUUCCAUAUUUUG
rfam:Erinaceus europaeus unplaced genomic scaffold scaffold00002, whole genome shotgun sequence